rnacentral:pre_miRNA from 1 species
UUGUGACCGUUAUAAUGGGCAUUUCACAUCAGAGCAAUGCUCAUUGAACAGUCGCAACC